rnacentral:rRNA from 1 species
GUAAGGAAUAUUGGACAAUGGGCGCAAGCCUGAUCCAGCCAUGCCGCGUGAAGGAUGAAUGCCCUAUGGGUUGUAAACUUCUUUUAGCAGGGAAAAAACCCCUCGAUGCGUCGAGGGCUGAUGGUACCUGCGGAAUAAGGAUCGGCUAACUCCGUGCCAGCAGCCGCGGUAAUACGGAGGAUCCAAGCGUUAUCCGGAUUUAUUGGGUUUAAAGGGUGCGUAGGCGGAUAAAUAAGUCAGUGGUGAAAGCCUGCAGCUCAACUGCAGAACUGCCAUUGAUACUGUUUAUCUUGAAUAUGGUUGAGGUGGGCGGAAUAUGACAUGUAGUGGUGAAAUACUUAGAUAUGUCAUAGAACACCGAUUGCGAAGGCAGCUCACUAAGCCAUCAUUGACGCUGAGGCACGAAAGCGUGGGGAGCAAACAGGAUUAGAAACCCGAGUAGUCC